UACGGGGGGGGCAAGCGUUGUUCGGAAUUACUGGGCGUAAAGGGCUCGUAGGCGGCCAACUAAGUCGGAUGUGAAAUCCCCAGGCUUAACCUGGGAACUGCAUCCGAUACUGGAUGGCUUGAAUUCGGGAGAGGGAUGCAGAAUUCCAGGUGUAGCGGUGAAAUGCGUAGAUAUCUGGAGGAAUACCGGUGGCGAAGGCGACUUACUGGACUGUAACUGACGCUGAGGCAUGAAAGCGUGGGGAGCAAACAGG
rnacentral:rRNA from 1 species